UCUUUUCUUUCAGAGUUAUCAGUUUACCCCAUGUGAGAGUAGGUUUCUUGCUUAAUUCCAUUAAUUUUCUUCUCUCCAGUUCUUACCAGUUGGGAAGUACUUGCAUUAUGAAGGUAACUCAAGAUAAAAAGGUGUCUCCAAGAACUGUUUUUCUAUCCACCGUUUCCAUGUUUUUAACAGAACUUUCUUCAGACAUCUACAGGGUGGGGACUGGAACCCAGGGCUGUGCAGUGAAUGGACGGAGAGGAACGCUCUGAGAAAGCUGCGGUACGUGUGCCGCUGCCGACAGACCUCGCUUGCUGCUGCCCCCGGCGGCAGGCCGCCCGGCUUUGCUGAAGCCCGGCUCCUCGGGAAUGCUGGGAAUGUUGAGUCAGGGACUGGCAGCCCAGCUUGCCGGGCUCGGAGCUGACUGAGGGACGCUCGCUGGGGGACAGAAAGACGAGGGACAGGAGCACGCAGCCCCCUCAAGAUAAGAGCGGGGUCCCUCUGCCUCGCCCCGUGGGCGCUCGGCGGCCCCGGCUCUCCCUGCUGCCUCCUUCCUCCGUGCAAGCGAGAUGUCAGCCGAACGUGAUGUUGUAAAAUCCAUGUGAGGAUGAAAGACAGAUGCAACGAUUUGAAAGGUAUCUGAAUCGGAAGAAUUUUUGCCUACUGGAAGAAUGCAGUGAAACUGCCAAUAUUUUUAGCUGGAAUUAUAAAUUUAACAUUCAACUUUAGUCUUACUAGUUUCUUACUAAACAGUACCUCAAAGUAGAAGAAAGAUGUACGGAAGUGCGAGAACAAUCAGCAACUUAGAAGGAAGUCCCUCCAGGUCUCCUCGUUUGCCAAGAUCUCCUCGCCUGGGCCAUAGGCGAACAAGUAGUGGAGGAGGAGGAGGAACAGGUAAGACGUUAUCAAUGGAGAACAUCCAGUCCCUUAAUGCAGCCUAUGCAACAUCUGGACCAAUGUAUCUGAGUGACCAUGAAGGUGUAGCUUCUACUACUUUCCCAAAGGGCACAAUGACUCUUGGAAGGGCUACAAAUCGAGCUGUGUAUGGUGGUCGAGUCACAGCUAUGGGAAGCAGUCCUAAUAUUGCUUCAGCUGGACUGUCCCACACAGAUGUCCUUUCUUACACUGAUCAACAUGGAGGUCUGACCACAUCUUCACACCAUCAUCACCAUCAGGUUCCUUCUAUGCUGAGACAGGUUAGAGAUAGUACUAUGUUAGACCUGCAGGCUCAGCUUAAGGAACUACAGAGGGAGAAUGAUCUUCUCAGAAAAGAACUAGACAUUAAAGACAGCAAGCUGGGAUCCUCCAUGAAUAGCAUCAAAACUUUCUGGAGUCCUGAAUUAAAGAAAGAAAGAGUAUUGAGGAAGGAAGAAGCAGCCAGAAUGUCAGUUCUUAAAGAGCAAAUGAGAGUUUCCCAUGAAGAAAAUCAGCAUCUGCAAAUGACAAUCCAGGCUCUUCAAGAUGAGCUUAGAACCCAGAGAGACCUUAAUCAUCUUCUCCAGCAAGAAAGUGGAAACCGAGGUGCUGAGCAUUUUACUAUUGAGCUAACAGAGGAGAAUUUUCGAAGACUUCAGGCAGAACAUGAUAGGCAAGCUAAAGAGCUUUUCCUGUUAAGAAAAACUCUAGAAGAAAUGGAACUAAGGAUUGAAACACAAAAACAAACACUAAAUGCUAGAGAUGAAUCAAUAAAAAAGCUUCUGGAAAUGUUGCAAAGUAAAGGUUUGCCCUCUAAAGGAAUGGAAGAUGACAAUGAGAGAACUCGAAGGAUGGCAGAAGCUGAAUCUCAGGUUAAUCAUUUAGAAGUGAUAUUAGACCAGAAGGAGAAGGAAAACAUACAUCUUAGAGAGGAAUUACAUAGAAGAACUCAGCUUCAGCCUGAGCCAGCAAAGACGAAGGCUCUUCAAACAGUUAUUGAAAUGAAGGAUACAAAAAUAGCUUCACUUGAGCGCAAUAUAAGAGACCUUGAAGAUGAAAUACAGAUGUUAAAGACAAAUGGAGUUCUGAAUACAGAGGAUCGAGAAGAAGAAAUCAAACAAAUAGAAGUUUACAAGAGUCACUCGAAGUUCAUGAAAAAUAAGAUUGACCAACUGAAACAAGAACUCUCAAAGAAAGAAUCAGAACUUCUUGCCUUACAAACUAAGCUUGAAACCCUUAGCAAUCAGAAUUCAGAUUGCAAGCAACACAUUGAAGUGCUUAAAGAGUCACUUACUGCCAAAGAACAGAGAGCUGCCAUACUUCAGACAGAGGUUGAUGCCUUGCGGUUACGAUUGGAAGAAAAAGAAACGUUUCUCAAUAAAAAAACAAAACAACUUCAAGACCUCACAGAAGAGAAAGGAACCCUGGCUGGAGAGAUUCGGGAUAUGAAAGACAUGUUGGAAGUAAAAGAAAGGAAAAUUAAUGUCCUUCAAAAAAAGAUUGAAAAUCUACAGGAGCAACUUAGGGACAAAGACAAACAACUAACUAAUUUAAAGGACAGAGUGAAGUCAUUGCAGACAGAUUCUAGUAACACAGACACAGCACUAGCCACCUUAGAAGAAGCUCUAUCUGAAAAGGAAAGAAUAAUAGAACGCUUGAAGGAGCAAAGGGAACGAGAUGACAGAGAAAGACUUGAAGAAAUUGAAUCUUAUAAAAAGGAAAACAAAGACUUGAAGGAGAAAGUUAAUGCUUUACAAGCUGAACUGACAGAAAAAGAGUCUAGUUUAAUCGAUCUCAAAGAACAUGCAUCUUCAUUGGCAUCAGCAGGGCUGAAAAGAGACUCCAAACUUAAGUCUUUAGAAAUAGCCAUAGAACAAAAGAAAGAAGAGUGUAGUAAGUUGGAAGCACAGUUGAAAAAGGCUCAUGAAGCCGAAGAGGAGGCACGGAUGAAUCCAGAAUUUGCAGACAGAAUGAAACAGCUUGACAAGGAGGCAUCAUACUAUAGAGAAGAAUGUGGCAAAGCUCAGGCCGAGGUUGACAGACUUCUAGAAAUUCUCAAGGAAGUAGAGAAUGAGAAGAAUGAUAAAGAUAAGAAAAUUGCUGAAUUAGAAAGACACAUGAAGGACCAAAACAAGAAGGUUGCCAAUCUGAAGCACAAUCAGCAACUGGAGAAAAAAAAGAAUGCACAGCUGUUGGAAGAAGUUCGUAGACGAGAGGACAAUAUGACAGACAACUCUCAACAUUUACAAGUAGAAGAACUGAUGAAUGCAUUGGAAAAGACUAGACAAGAACUAGAUUCUACCAAAGCCCGUCUUGCCUCAACACAGCAGUCUUUGGCUGAGAAGGAAGCACAUCUGGCUAACCUAAGAAUAGAGCGGAGAAAGCAACUUGAAGAAAUUCUAGAAAUGAAACAGGAAGCACUGCUUGCUGCAAUUAGUGAAAAGGAUGCAAACAUUGCCUUGCUUGAACUGUCUGCUUCAAAGAAAAAGAAGACACAAGAGGAAGUAAUGGCUCUUAAAAGAGAGAAGGACAGAUUAGUACAUCAGUUAAAACAGCAGACACAAAACAGAAUGAAACUAAUGGCAGAUAACUAUGAUGAUGACCAUCACCACUACCACCAUCAUCACCACCAUCACCAUCACCGAUCUCCUGGGAGGCCACAACACUCCAACCACAGACCCUCUCCAGAUCAGAUGAUCCAGUCACUGUUGGAGGCACAUAGCCACGGCAAAAUCUCAUGCUGUACAUUGAUCACCUGUCCAACCUUUGCCUAGAGUGUGAUCCCCAGUUCCUUCAAGAGAUCCAUCUUUACCUGUCUAUAAAGAAGAAGAGGAGGAGGGAGACAUCUGGGAUAUUCAAGUAUCAAAGUUUAACACCAGAGCAGUUGUCAGAGGAACUAGUGAAAGAGGAAGAAAAAACCUAGCACUGGAAAGUUACGAUGAUAAUCUAUUGCAUUGGAUCUCCAAACAUGACCAUGAUAUCCUGGAGAAGAUCACAGAUGCAGAAAAUAAAUUCUAAGGUUGAUAUCUAACGAAAUGCUGCAUUAAUUGGCGUCUUCUCCAUUAUUUCUAGUAGUCUGCUGUGAAAUUAGAUACUUUGUAAAACAACGAAGGAGACUCAAGCAGAAAUUACAAAAGCUUUAUUUCUAUCUUUAAUGGGUCUUGCAAGUUAUUGUUUUCACAAACAAACCAAGUGUUCAAAUAUUAUUGUUUAAUGAAGUUCAUUUAAUCAGGUUAUGUAACUCUUUUUUGGUAAAUUGAUAUUGAUUUUAAUAAGUAAUUUAGAUGUAGGUAAUUUAGGUAUGGUAUCUGCAUUUGCUGAUUUUACCUAGACUAUUCUAAAACUUCUAUUGCACUAGAUUAUCAAAGAGGUAUUAGUAAAAUGUUAUAUAAAGGGCGUUGGCAUUAAUCUUAACCCCAAUUAGAUGUGGGCUUUUCAAAAAAUUAAAACCAAGCCUUUACCCUCCUCUGUUUUCUUACAUCUACUGAUAAUUAUAAUUAAAACAAACAAACAAACAAACAAACAACAAACCAAAAUGAAAACAAACAAACAAGAAAAAAAACAGCAACAAAAAAAGAAUGAAGAAAAUCACAUUGAUAGUAUAACCGGUAUUAAGCUCUGGGCCAGGUUGGAAAUGAAAUCAAUUUUUGGUACUAAUAACUGAUGGCAAAGAUUAACUCUAUGAAAAUAUGGUGUGUGUCUCUGACAAUGCAUAGGACAUCUAAUUUGAUCAUAAAUAUACAAUUAUAAACAAGAUGUAUCUAUUCCUGGAUGGUAAAAGCUUGAGGCGUAUAUAAAUACAUAUGUUUGUAUAUAUAUGGACUAUAUGGACAUAUACACAAGGAUGUAUCAACCUUUUACCAUCCAAAUGCAUACAGAUCUUCAACAAUGAAAGCUGGGACUCUUUAAAAAAAUAAAAAUAAAGUAAGAUUGCUGUGAAUACAGUAUAUGCACUAGGUCUCCUGUAAAUGAGGAACUGUUUGUUAUCAUUUUCUGCGUUGAAAAACAGUCUCCAACAUGGAUCCCAAUGACUUUUAGAUGUUAAAGAAGAAAAUAACAAUGAACAAACAGCCCAUAGAGGCUGUCUGAAUCACCAAAAUAUGUCUAGCGAAAUAAAUUUAAAGCACAUGCAAGGAAAAAUAGAAAUGUGAAGUCAUUACAUUCAGUGAGAGAAUAUUAACUGAUAGAUAAAUGUCUACGACUUCUCGAGGAGAGGAUCCUUGUGACUCCAUGAACAUUUUUGGUCAGUCUGGCAAACCUACAAAUGUUUGGCUGUUUUACUGGGGCAUCUUUUCGUCCAUGGGAGAAAUGCUUCCAUGGUGAUAGGAGUGGGAAUAGAAUAUCUACAUUUUUAAAGGACAAACAAUAAAUUUAAGCAUGGGUGGCCUUAAUCCUUAGUAGUUUUUCUUUGCUGCUGUAAAAAAGAAAAAUCUAAGUGGAUACUCCUGAAGUCUUGCACUGAAUUUAGAAAAAAUAUUUUUUGAACCUGUGGUGCAAUUAACCCUAAACAUCCUACAUGAGCCAUACAUAUAGCCCUCUAAAGUGAUUGUCUAGAGAUGAUAUUUUAUUUAUUUGUACCAUAAUUCGUGGUGCAGUCAAAGAGCAAUUUAUUUGAGCAGGAGUCCUGCUGGAUGCUACUGUUUUCCAUAGAUAGAAAAUGUAUAGAAUUAGUAUAGCACAGAUAAUCCAAAUUUCAUUCAUGUUUAAAAAGUUUGUCCUUUAACUAUCAAUGGCAUUUUAGAUCUUUGUUUUGAAACAGCAAAGCUUUUGGGAGUAUAUUUAGCACAUAUGACAAAUGUUGCACUUGGAAACUCAGACAACAAAGCUUAGUUUCUUGUGACAAAUUUGUUGUCACAGUAGGGGACAAUCGUCUGUGUCUCUUACAAUCAGGUCUUAACCUUAACUCUGCAACUGAAUACUUGAAGUAGGAAAUAAACUAGGGGGAAAUAGGUUCAGACGCAAAGCUGUAUAGUUAGAUAUUUAUAUGUAUGUGCCAAUUUUGUCACAGGUAUUACUUUAGGGGCAUUUUUGCUCCAUUCAUGUUGGUAACAGUAUUGAUCUAAACUUUUAUCAGGGCCUACAGGUUAGCCCUAAGGAGGAAAACUCUGUCUAACAUUGCUUCUUUCUUUAUCUUUCUUUUUUCUUUUCUUUUUUUUUUUCAUUUCAUGUGAUACUCUACGAUGUUUGCAGAAAAUCUUUUCAUAUACUAAAAUAGAAUCUCGGGGUUUACAAUAAACACUGUGAUGUUGGGAAAAUAUUUUAUUUGAGCAAUGUUUGGUAGUUUUUUUCCCCCUUGAAGUGUAAAGAAGCAACCAACUUUUGGUUAACACUUAAGAUAAUGAUUAUUAUUUUAAUGUGAGAUCAGUCUUGUACUGCGCAUUCUUUCUUUCAUUUAAAUGUACAGUAUGAAUUUUGUAUUUGAUGAAUUUUGUGUAUCCAGUAUGCACGUACCUGCGCAUUGACUUUCAUUUGAAAGUGAGUUUCAAUUUACUUUUUAAACAGUGUUUAUGAAAAGACCUCAGAUGUGUUGACACAAAGUAUAUCUGCAAUGUUUUUUUUUUUUCUGUGUGUAGGGUGACGUUUGAAUGUGAUGUUCUGCAGCAAUGGGUCAGUAUUCCCUAAUAACCUUAGAUCCUCAUUUGAUAGUGCUUCUUGUAAUAUUUUUUUCAAGUGAGUGGCAUGUUCUGGAUUGUGAUAUUGAUAUGUGGUUAAGGAUAUCGAUAUGAAACUAAGGAAUUCCUAGAAAUUAACAGUGGGCAUGUAUUAGACAGUCAUUGUAAUUUAAUGUCUAGUAGAAGUGUAAAGUACCAAGGUAUUUAGAGUUCAUAACAUUGUUAUCAUGUGUAUGGAAGUAUUUAGUGUUGAUCAUCUUGUUUAUAUUCAUCAAAUAAACUUUGUUUCUUU